UACGGUAGGGUGCGAGCGUUGUCCGGAAUUACUGGGCGUAAAGAGCUCGUAGGUGGUUUGUCGCGUUGUCCGUGAAAACUCACAACUCAAUUGUGGGCGUGCGGGCGAUACGGGCAGACUGGAGUACUGCAGGGGAGACUGGAAUUCCUGGUGUAGCGGUGGAAUGCGCAGAUAUCAGGAGGAACACCGGUGGCGAAGGCGGGUCUCUGGGCAGUAACUGACGCUGAGGAGCGAAAGCGUGGGUAGCAAACAGG
rnacentral:rRNA from 1 species